rnacentral:rRNA from 1 species
GACGAACGCUGGCGGCGUGCUUAACACAUGCAAGUCGAACGGAAAGGCCCUGCUUUUGUGGGGUGCUCGAGUGGCGAACGGGUGAGUAACACGUGAGUACCCUGCCCUUGAUUUUGGGAUAACUUCAGGAAACUGGGGCUAAUACCGGAUAGGAGCUCCUGCUGCAUGGUGGGGGUUGGAAAGUUUCGGCGGUUGGGGAUGGACUCGCGGCUUAUCAGCUUGUUGGUGGGGUAGUGACUUACCUAGGCCUUGACGGGUAGCCGGCGUGAGAGGGUGACCUGCCACAUUGGGACUGAGAUACGGCCCAGACUCCUACGGGAGGCAGCAGUGGGGAAGAUGGCACAAUGGGCGGAAGCCUGAUGCAGCAACGCCGCGUGCGGGAUAACGGCCUUCGGGGUGUAAACCGCUUUCGCCUGUGACGAAGCGUGAGUGACGGUAAUGGGUAAAGAAGCACCGGCUAACUACGUG